UACAGAGGUCUCAAGCGUUGUUCGGAUUCAUUGGGCGUAAAGGGUGCGUAGGCGGCGCGGUAAGUCGGGUGUGAAAUCUCGGGGCUUAACUCCGAAACUGCAUUCGAUACUGCCGUGAUUGAGGACUGGAGAGGAGACUGGAAUUUACGGUGUAGCGGUGAAAUGCGUAGAUAUCGUAAGGAACACCAGUGGCGAAGGCGGCUCACUGGCCCGGUACUGACGCUGAGGUGCGAAAGCGUGGGGAGCAAACAGG
rnacentral:rRNA from 1 species